rnacentral:lncRNA from 1 species
GUUGGUCAUAUACUUGACUAGGGUGCACCAUCAAAGGGAAACAGUUUCAUUGACACAGUUUAUAAGCAUGCUGUAGAAGAGAUCUCAUUACAAUAAACACAAAUUUGGAAAGAGUGGAGAACAAGGAUGACAUAGAUGUUGCAAACGAGGUAAUUUGAGCUUCUCGACAUUUGAUUCUCAUGUGCUGAUUUUGUUAAGAGAUGAUUUCUUUGUGCCUUACUUAUUUUCAUUAAUCUUCAUGAACCUUGUCACA